rnacentral:lncRNA from 1 species
AAAUUACAAAUUUUGAAACUCUUUGAUCAUUAGGUUAAUGGUGUCGAAAAAAUUUGAAAUUUGGUUUCUAAAUAGUUCAAGUGGUAUAGAUCAUGUUCAACGGUGCCGAUCGUCGAUUUGAAGGCUCCAUCAUCGAAAACAAAUGGGUGGCAACGGAGUCCGUUUGCACCGUUGAACGUGAUCUAUACCACUUGAACUAUCUAGAAACCAAAUUUCAAAUUUUUUCGACAUUGUUCUCUUAUCCAUCGAGUGGACACAAAAAUGAACGGCUGAAAAUAAAUAUUCUUUAAAAAAUGAUGAUAGGAGUCUUGUAAUCAAGAUCAAGAGUAUAGAUUUUAUUUUAAAUAGUUUAAAGAAUUUUCUAACAAAAGUUCAAUUGAUUUGGAUAUCUUUACACCGUUAAAUGAGAAAACGUUUCAUAUCGACCAUUAAAAUUACAAAUUUUGAAACCCUUUGAUCAUUAGGCAAAUGAUGUCGAAAAGAUUUGAAAUUUGAUUUUUAAACACUUCAAGUGGUAUAGAUCAUGUUCAACA